UACGUAGGGGGCAAGCGUUGUCCGGAAUCAUUGGGCGUAAAGAGCGUGUAGGCGGCCAGAUAAGUCCGCUGUGAAAUCUCGAGGCUCAACUUCGAGCUGUCGGUGGAAACUGUCUGGCUAGAGUCCGGAAGAGGAGAAUGGAAUUCCGUGGUGUAGCGGUGAAAUGCGCAGAUAUCAGGAAGAACACCCGUGGCGAAGGCGGUUCUCUGGGCAUUACCUGACGCUGAGGAGCGAAAGUGUGGGGAGCGAACAGG
rnacentral:rRNA from 1 species